AUAGCGUAUAUUUAAGUUGUUGCAGUUAAAAAGCUCGUAGUUGGAUCUUGGGUCGUAAGGGUCGGUCCGCCUACUCGGUGUGCACCUGCCCUUCCGUCCCUUUUGUGGGCGGCGUGCUCCUGGCCUUAAUUGGCUGGGUCGCGGUUCCGGCGCUGUUACUUUGAAAAAAUUAGAGUGCUCAAAGCAAGCUUAUGCUCUGAAUACAUUAGCAUGGAAUAACGUGAUAGGAGUCUGGUCCUAUUGUGUUGGCCUUCGGGACCGGAGUAAUGAUUAAUAGGGACUGUCGGGGGCAUUCGUAUUUCAUUGUCAGAGGUGAAAUUCUUGGAUUUAUGAAAGACGGACCACUG
rnacentral:rRNA from 1 species